ACUGAGUGACGCCAGCAAGGUGUUUAAUGUGCAGAAGGAAAUUAUUGAGCUUAAUGCAGCAACAGAAACUGUUUAAAACGGGGCAUAGAAAAAGGGACGAGGAGAAAAAAUGUCCCCUGGGACAGCGUGGGGCGCUCUGACGGGUAGUUGUGGUUUGGAGGGAGCGGAUGUAGAGCAGAGAUACCUGCAGAUGCAGCAGUGGCUGAAAUUUUUCCAAAUUUGAUGCAAACUGUAAACUCAGCGAUUCAAGGUGAACCCCAAGCAGAAUAAACAAAGAAAACUACAUAAAGGCACAUCAGAAUCAAAUUGCUGGAAACCAGCAAUGAAGAGAAAACUCUCCCUGGCGGCCAGGGGAGAAAAGGCUCAUUACAUUAAAAGGAGCGAAGAGAAGAUGAUUAUAGAGUUCUGAUCAAAAACCGAGCCAGCUACUGUGUAGUAGAGUGGCAGUUUUGAAAGUGAUUACAGGCAAAAAUCCUGGACCCAGCAAAAAUAUCCUUCAAAAGUGAAGGGAAAAAGCUUUCAGGCAGACAAAAGCUCAGAGAGUUCAUUGCCAGCAGGCCUGCACUGCAAGGAGUGUUAAAGGACAGUCUUUAAGGGGAAGCGUGGAAAUUUAGAUCUGCCCAAAGAAAUUAAGAGCUCUAGGAAUGCUAAAUAUGUGGGUAGGUAUAAAUGACAUUUUCACUGAUUUCUUUGAAAUGACAUCCCCUUGUCUUUAAUAGAUAACGAACUGUUUAAAGCAAAAACAGUAACAAUGGGUUGUGAAAUGUAUUACGUGGAGGUAAAACGUGCGCCAUGGGUAACUCAGAGGAUGGCAGCAGAGCACCGGGAGCGCGCCACUGUAAGGCACGCGUGCUGUGUGGGACGUGGCGUGAUGUUAUUCGAAGGUAGACUGUGACAAGCUAAUAAAAGUAUGUAGUAAAUUCUAGAGCAGUUACCUGGAAAAAACAUCAAAACCACAGGGAUAUAACUAAUAAGUCAGUACAGGAGAUAAGAUAGAAUAAUAAAAAAUACUCCAGAAAAAGACAGAAGAGGAAAAAUGAACAAAGAACAGAUGGGGCAAAUACAGAAUAACUCAUGAGAUGGCAGGUUUGAACUCAACAGUAUUAGCAAUUGUGCUAAGCAUGUGACCUUAACAUACGACCUAAACCGAUGGUUUUCCACCAGUGUGCCACAAGAAUUUUUGAAGCGUGCAGUACCUGAGUGUUUAGUCAGAGGCACUGACUUCUUUUCCCUUAGAUUGUCGUAUUAAAAAAUGGCAUAGCCAACACAACAGUAGUCGUCCGGUGUGAAUACCCUGCCUUGAAUCAUAAAUACAGGUCACAUAGUAGAGUUGCAUCUUAUUGGUCGCGUUGCAUAAUAAGGUUGUGUCUGAUUGGUUAAUUCUUGGCACUAGAAAUCCUUUUAUACAAGUAUAGGCAUCUGAUUUUUUAAAAAGUCAUUUUGGAGCAAAAAAAGGUAGGUAAUUACUAUUAUUUUUUGUAAGUCAGUCAAAAUUAUACCUUUUUUUUCUCAGAUCGGCAAAAAAAAUGCAUUUUUUGGUGUGGUGCACAAUUUUAGUAAUUAGUUUAUGUGUGCGUGCCAUGGGAUGAAGAUGGUUAGAAAUUGCUGAUCUAAAAACUUGGAUGAAUGGCCAUUGUCAGACUGUUUAAAAACUUCGAGAUCCAGUUAAAUUAAAUGCUGUUUACAGGAAACUUACUGUAAUUGUAGUACACAGUAAGUUGAAAAGUAAAAGAACCAAAAUAUUUCCACGAAAACAUUAAUCAGGAAGGUGGGUUGGCUCUAUUCAUCUCAGACUGGUAGACGUCAGAAGCAGGAGAAUUCCCGGGGGCAGAGUCGCAUUUCAGUCUGUGAAGAGUUCAGCUCAUCAAGAGGGCUGUCACUUGUAACUGCGUGUGCAACUAAAAACAGCCUCAAAAUCAUGAAGCGAACUUGACAGAACUGAAAAGGAAAAUCGACAGAUCCACUUUCCUAGUUGGAGAUUUCUUCAUGCCUUUCUCAGUAAUUGGUGAAACAAGGAGACAAAAA